CCAAAUAUCUAAACGGAGAAAUUCAAUAUUGUCCGCAAUGUGCACUUUUCUCUUAGUAAGACGCCGUGAUCCAUUAGAAAGUGGUGCGUUCCGAGCGCAUAGUGAGUCAUCAAUAGGCCAGCGUGAAGUUUGUCCGGAACGAAUGGCACGAUCUUUUACGGUUGUGUGUAUCGUCUGGUGAGCGCGUUGAUACCUGCAAUGACUGUCUGAUGGAUUUUAUAGGUUGCAUCAAUGGUGUUACGGCACCAAUGCUUAAACGCAUAGCCGAUGUAUGCCCGAUCAACGGCGGUUCAGUUUGGGAUACCUUUUGGACCCGUCUUGAAACACGGACCAAGGAGUCUAUCUAGUAUGCGAGUAAAUGGAUAUGUUUGAAAUCUAUUUGCGUAAUAAACGUAACUGUGUUGUGGGAUUACGAUUAGAAGAUUCGCGAGAAUCUCUUUUCUUCCAUCCCGGGGUAUUUUCAUCAACAUAUGCGCAAGCAUAUGGAAAAUAUACCAUGAGCACACUGGAUACGACCCGAAAGAUGGUGAACUAUGCCUGAUCAGGUCGAAGUCAGGGGAAACCCUGAUGGAGGACCGAAGCAGUUCUGACGUGCAAAUCGAUUGUCAGAAUUGGGCAUAGGGGCGAAAGACCAAUCGAACCAUC
rnacentral:rRNA from 1 species